AAAUUGAAGAGUUUGAUCAUGGCUCAGAUUGAACGCUGGCGGCAGGCCUAACACAUGCAAGUCGGACGGUAGCACAGAGGAGCUUGCUCCUCGGGUGACGAGUGGCGGACGGGUGAGUAAUGUCUGGGAAACUGCCCGAUGGAGGGGAUAACUACUGGAAACGGUAGCUAAUACCGCAUAACGUCGCAAGACCAAAGUGGGGACCUCCGGGCCUCACACCAUCGGAUGUGCCCAGAUGGGAUUAGCUUGUAGGCGGGGUAACGGCCCACCUAGGCGACGAUCCCUAGCUGGUCUGAGAGGAUGACCAGCCACACUGGGACUGAGACACGGUCCAGACUCCUACGGGAGGCAGCAGUGGGGAAUAUUGCACAAUGGGCGCAAGCCUGAUGCAGCCAUGCCGCGUGUAUGAAGAAGGCCUUCGGGUUGUAAAGUACUUUCAGCGGGGAGGAAGGUGGUGAGGUUAAUAACCUCAUCAAUUGACGUUACCCGCAGAAGAAGCACCGGCUAACUCCGUGCCAGCAGCCGCGGUAAUACGGAGGGUGCAAGCGUUAAUCGGAAUUACUGGGCGUAAAGCGCACGCAGGCGGUCUGUUAAGUCAGAUGUGAAAUCCCCGGGCUUAACACGGGAACUGCAUUUGAAACUGGCAGGCUUGAGUCUCGUAGAGGGGGGUAGAAUUCCAGGUGUAGCGGUGAAAUGCGUAGAGAUCUGGAGGAAUACCGGUGGCGAAGGCGGCCCCCUGGACGAAGACUGACGCUCAGGUGCGAAAGCGUGGGGAGCAAACAGGAUUAGAUACCCUGGUAGUCCACGCCGUAAACGAUGUCGACUUGGAGGUUGUUCCCUUGAGGAGUGGCUUCCGGAGCUAACGCGUUAAGUCGACCGCCUGGGGAGUACGGCCGCAAGGUUAAAACUCAAAUGAAUUGACGGGGGCCCGCACAAGCGGUGGAGCAUGUGGUUUAAUUCGAUGCAACGCGAAGAACCUUACCUACUCUUGACAUCCAGCGAACUUUCCAGAGAUGGAUUGGUGCCUUCGGGAACGCUGAGACAGGUGCUGCAUGGCUGUCGUCAGCUCGUGUUGUGAAAUGUUGGGUUAAGUCCCGCAACGAGCGCAACCCUUAUCCUUUGUUGCCAGCGAUUCGGUCGGGAACUCAAAGGAGACUGCCGGUGAUAAACCGGAGGAAGGUGGGGAUGACGUCAAGUCAUCAUGGCCCUUACGAGUAGGGCUACACACGUGCUACAAUGGCGCAUACAAAGAGAAGCGACCUCGCGAGAGCAAGCGGACCUCAUAAAGUGCGUCGUAGUCCGGAUCGGAGUCUGCAACUCGACUCCGUGAAGUCGGAAUCGCUAGUAAUCGUGGAUCAGAAUGCCACGGUGAAUACGUUCCCGGGCCUUGUACACACCGCCCGUCACACCAUGGGAGUGGGUUGCAAAAGAAGUAGGUAGCUUAACCUCCGGGAGGGCGCUUACCACUUUGUGAUUCAUGACUGGGGUGAAGUCGUAACAAGGUAACCGUAGGGGAACCUGCGGUUGGAUCACCUCCUUACCUGAA
rnacentral:rRNA from 1 species